GUUCUGUGCCCACUACUUCAGCCCCGUGGUCCCGGAGGCUGAAGAAGCAGCCUGGAAUCCGCCGGAAACCUACAUCACGAACACUUAGAGCGGCCUCCCGGAAGUGUCCCGGAGCCACCCGAGUCGCGGCGCCGCGGAGCUCAGCCUAGGUCUCACGAAAUUGAACGAGACUACGGAAGCCGGAAGGAUUGGGCUAAGAGUUUCCUGGGUUAAGCAUUUCCUGAGUUAAGGACUUUGUACGGUCUCGAGGCGGUGAUGCCCUGGAGAAAGAAAGAUGAAGAAAACACCUGAUUCUUGAGUGGUACAUGGUUUAAUAGAGGAGUAGAGGAUAUCUUGCAGCUUGGCUGACCCACUUUUGGGGAUGGGAGGAUUAAUGAGCUCCCUAAACCAAAACUUCUGAGGAAAGGGACUUUGGAGGAAUCAGUGUACAUCUCAUGGACUGUACCCAACAGAAAGCAAGAGGACAAGAGAGCUCGUAGAUGUUAUCCAGGCAGGUUCACACAUAUAUGCCUUCCUCACCGCAGAGAGGUGGAGAGUGGAUUCUUUCUGACCUCUGCUUCCCUGAAUCCUUCAUGGGUUCUACUUCCUUCUCCUCCCCACUAUGCUCACAUACUGUCUUUAAUCAUUGGCUCUCCUCACUCAAAGUUCUCUUCCUUGGUGAUCUCACCCUUUCUCACUUUCUUAUAACUACCAAGACUCUGUCAGUCCUUUCUGAAACUUCAGCUCUAUCUCUAGCUGGGUUUGGUUUUAGAUUUUCUUGAGAAACUAAACCAAAACCAAAAAGUAGAUUCAUCUUCCUCCAGGGCCACUAUAGCUCACUAUUUAUAUGACUGUUUUGCAGUGUAAGGACUGUGGUAGUAUGCAUACUAUUCAUUGAGAAAACUGUAGUCAACUUAGAAAACAAUAUUUUUCUUCUCAACAUAACCGAGGAGGAUCAGAUAUCCACUCUCUGACUCAGUGCUGUUGUGUUUAUUUGAUUUGGACAGACUAUACCUGAAACCGCUUGUGUGAUCAGCUAGGAUUCCUGCAUGUUCCAGAGCAUGCGGGAGUUGAAAUUAAAAAGAAUUCCUGAGAUAUAAUGUGCAGUCUAGCACAUAGCAUUGGCAAUCAUAUACCAGGUAAAUGUCCUGUAACUCUGUUCCAAUUCAUUGGCCUAAGUAUUUUGACUCUAGGGCAUGUAGUCUUAAUGCUUCAUUCUCCUGGAUGUGGGAGUUGGACCAAAAGGGAGGCAUCAAAGAUGAUGUUUUGAAUCCAAGUGAUGGGGACAAUAAUGGGAAGUCACAAAGGCAGCAAGUUUUGAGGGGAAGAUGAAGAAUUCCAUUUGAAUUUGUGCUGUCUGAAAGCAAGUGUCCAUUAAGCAAUUGGAUAUGGGGAGGGCACAGGGAAUAUUGGGAUUUUAGCAAAGUAAUUGCGUCCAGUGAGAAAUAUUUGGGAGACAGCAGCAUAGAAGUGGUAGUUGAACCUGUCAUGAGCUUGUCCCUCACAAGCAUGUAGAAUCAGAAGGAAAAAGGGCUUAGUUUUCCUCACCUUCUCUGCUACCUACUGUCUAAUGCAAGACAUCAAAAUCUUCGAUCUUUUGCAAUAAUCUCCCUACUGUUCUCUAUUUUGGCUCCUAUUCAAUCCAUUCUCCCACACAGCCUGAAGCCCAGGUGAUCUUUUUAAACGUGGGUCUUCAAAGUUUAAAACCAUCAAAGUUUUCUCAUUACUCUUGGAAUAAAAUCUACACAAGUGCUUUGGAAAGUCUAACAAGGCCUUGAAGGCACAUGGUCGACUUUCCAUCUUACUUCAUCUUACACUGUUGUCUCCUUUUCUCUCUAAGUUCCUGUCAUGCUGGCUUUUUAAAAUUUCUGGCAAACACCAAGUUCUUUUUCACAUCAGGACCUUUGCUCCAAAUCUUCAUUUGCUGGUUUCUUUUUAUCCUUCAGAGAAGUUUCCCUUAUCCCCCAAAUGUAAAGAGUUCUCCAUCACUACAUUUUAUUCUUUUGCUUCAUAAUGUUGUUCUGAGUUUAGAAUUAUACAAUGAUUAGUGUGUUUACUUUUAAAAUAUCUACAUUUCCCAUUGGAUUGUAAGGAAUCUACUCAAUGCUCACUACCUACCAAUACUCCUCAUUAAGUACUUGUUGAAUGAAUGAAUCUCUAUUCAUUCAUCUAUUCAUCUAAUUCAUCUACACUAUAAUUAUCAAUAUUCUCUAUCAUUUAUUUAUUCCCUCUAUAUUAUUUAUCUAUCAUUUAUUUAUAUGAUUCUCUGUGGAUUGGUACUAAGUAGCUGAAACUCUAAAGCCCCAUUUUUUGUCUCCCCAAAGUAUAAAGAGAUCAUUGUUAUACUUUACGCAAGGAGCUGCAGAUGAAUUUCUGUCAAGAUCAAAUAAAGACAGCAACAUUUAGAUGGAAGACAGGAAUGACCUUCUUUUUCUAUGUUCUGUUUAGAAAAAAACCCUCAUUUCCAUAAUUGGCUAUGGUGUUGUCUAUAAAUAUUAUGCAAAUACCUUGAGUCCUUGUAAUGCAAGAUAGGUUAUAAUGAGAAAUGAGUAGCAGUGGCCCUGAAGACAAACAAUCCUCUGGGUAUGAAUUUUUCCAACAUGCUUAUGGAGUGCUAUAACAGGGAUUGUUUAUGAAAUAAAGAAAGGUGGGGCAGAAUCUGUUCUUUCACUAGAUCUCUUUAUUUUUUACUCCUUUCCUACUUUUUCUGUUUCCUCAAGGGCAGACGGUGAGAGAAGGGAGAGUAUAGGAAAAGGUGAAAAAUCUUACACGUAAUCGGCCUGUAAGAGCCUCUUAAUAAAGAAGGCACUGAGCAAGUUGUGUAUCUAGGCUGAGCUCUUAUGACCCACCCUUUGCCCCUGCCCCUGGAGAGACACUCUCUUUCUCCUGGAUUUCUCUAUUUCUGGCAGAAAAUUAGGGUAUGUGAGGUAGCUUGCUCCUGGUUACCUUCUGUGGUCUCCCAUUGGCCCACAGGAAUUCACAUCUUUAGUUCAAUGGGGGAAGGGUAGGCUAUUCCCCCUUGCCUCCUUCUGUCUUUUCUGCCGUCAUGGGAAGCUCCAGCCACCUUCAUAAUCUUCAGGUGGAGGCAAGCAUUCGUCUUCCUGUUCUCAAAUACUCCCCAAAGCCAGGGGUCACAUGGCUGGUUUACUCUCUCUCUUAGCAUUCCGACCUUGGUGGUCACACCAAGAUGGUCCUCGGAGUUUUGGGGUCCAGCAAAAUGCCACCUCUGGAAGUGAGAUAUUUGUUUCCCUUUCCCUAAGGUUCUCCCGGUCUUUAAGAGUGGUUCUCUGGGGGCUCUUCUACUAGGAGAAGAGAAGAAAGCCACUGUGCUCUCUUCUAUGAAUGCCCUUACCAAAAGUUCUCCCUUCCUCUGUCCUUCCCCCACUUCAGUCCCUUCUCAAAACAGCUGCCAGAGUAAUCCUUUGAAAAACUCAAGUUCGAUUAGGUCACUCCUUUCCUAAGAAUUCUCCAGUGGUUUCUCAUCUCAUUCAGAAUCAAAUUCAAAAUUCUUAUCAUGGUCCCUAUGCUCCCAUUGGUCUGUCCCUCACUAUUUCUCUGAUCCUGUUUUCUGCUAUUUCUUUUCCUUUAGCUCAUUCUGCUCCUUGCUUUUCCUUGAACACACCAGGCUUGCUCCUUUCCAUUUACCUGGAAUAUUCUUCCUUCAAACAUCCAUUUGGCUAGCUUCUUCAUCUACUUUUACUUGGAUGUCAUUUUCUCAGCGAGACCUUAUCUGAAACAGCCCCGGACCCCUUCUUCUGGCAUCUGAGCAGUGCUAACAAUGGAUAUCCUGGGUUUUUAAGGUUCAUAGCCAUUAUUUCUUUACCUGAAUCUAAAAUGAAUAUGUAAUUUUUUUCACUUUAUUGAUUUGUUUAAUGUAUCCAUCCAUUUAGCUCAUAUGUUCCUGGGGAGGCAGAAUCAUGACCCUUUUUACUAGUUUUGUAGCAAAUAGUUACUUAAUAAAUGUUUUUUGAAGUUUGGAGAAAAAUCCAUAUAGACUGAAUAGUUUUUGAAGCUCUCUAAAAGCUCAUUGCAGGACAUGUAGUUUACUGAUUUAAACACUUUGGUUAUUGAAAAUUAUGAUGAAUUUUUAGUAGACUUCCUACACUCUGAUUUCUACUCUCAUGCUUCCUUAAUAACACUGUCAGAUAGCAGUUGUUAAAAGACUGCUUUCAUCAUCUUCCUCCUUUGCUUAAAACCUUCAAAAUCAGUUGUAUGUCAUUGUAUGUGUGUGCACAUUCAUGCAUGUGUGUAUCAUGUUAAGCCAAAGCUGACUUGUUUCUCCCUCCCUCUUUUCCUUCAUUCCUUCCUCAUUAUUUUUUAUCACUUUAUUACUAUCCAUGAGCACCAUUAUAUACUAAGUCUGUUUUAGCUAUUUUACCUACAAAAUCUCUCUAUAACCCUCAUAAUAUCUUGCAAGGAUCUAUUAUUAUACUCAUUUUACAGUUGGAGAAAAUGGGGCUUGUACUGGUUAAGUAGCCUGUCCCAGGUUACCCAGCUAGUGGAGUGGCAGAAUUGCAACUAGGAUCUAAAUCUGCCUGUUCCUCGGGGCCGGACUGGUGGCACAGCAGUUAAAUUCACACCGGGGUUCACCAGUUCGGAUCCCGGGU